AUUGAACGCUGGCGGCAUGCCUUACACAUGCAAGUCGAACGGCAGCACGGGAGCAAUCCUGGUGGCGAGUGGCGAACGGGUGAGUAAUAUAUCGGAACGUGCCCAGUCGUGGGGGAUAACGUAGCGAAAGCUACGCUAAUACCGCAUACGAUCUAUGGAUGAAAGCGGGGGAUCGCAAGACCUCGCGCGAUUGGAGCGGCCGAUAUCAGAUUAGGUAGUUGGUGAGGUAAAGGCUCACCAAGCCGACGAUCUGUAGCUGGUCUGAGAGGACGACCAGCCACACUGGGACUGAGACACGGCCCAGACUCCUACGGGAGGCAGCAGUGGGGGAAUUUUGGACAAUGGGCGCAAGCCUGAUCCA
rnacentral:rRNA from 1 species